rnacentral:rRNA from 1 species
GGACUUUCGGUCCUGAGUACAGUGGCGCACGGGUGAGUAACACGUGACUAACCUACCCUGGAGUGGGGAAUAACUGAGGGAAACCUUAGCUAAUACCGCAUAAUACCUACGGGUCAAAGGAGCAAUUCGCUUCAGGAGGGGGUCGCGGCCGAUUAGUUAGUUGGCGGGGUAAUGGCCCACCAAGACAGUGAUCGGUAUCCGGCCUGAGAGGGCGCACGGACACACUGGAACUGAAACACGGUCCAGACUCCUACGGGAGGCAGCAGUGGGGAAUUUUGCGCAAUGGGGGAAACCCUGACGCAGCAACGCCGCGUGGAGGAUGAAAUCCCUUGGGAUGUAAACUCCUUUCGAUCGGGACGAUUAUGACGGUACCGGAAGAAGAAGCCCCGGCUAACUUCGUGCCAGCAGCCGCGGUAAUACGAGGGGGGCAAGCGUUGUUCGGAAUUAUUGGGCGUAAAGGGAGUGUAGGCGGUUUGGUAAGUUGUGUGUGAAAUCUUCGGGCUCAACCCGAAGUCUGCACACAAAACUGCCGGGCUUGAGGGUGGGAGAGGUGAGUGGAAUUUCCGGUGUAGCGGUGAAAUGCGUAGAUAUCGGAAGGAACACCUGUGGCGAAAGCGGCUCACUGGACCAUUUCUGACGCUGAAACUCGAAAGCUAGGGGAGCAAACA